GUGGGAGGGACACGCUGCCCUGGUCUUCAGCUGGUGCCUGGGGUGAGACAGCAAACGGGACAGCAAAGAUCCUGCAGCCAGCACAGAAAUUUGGGAUGUUCCUUGGGAUCAGCACGGGCUGGCCAUCCCUCCUGCCAGGAGAAAAGGGGGCUGGGCUGGGAGACACCCUUUGUGUUGAGAAGAUGCCAAAAAGAGAAUUCUGAUUCCUGUAGCCCCUGCCCUUGCUGCCAAAGCUCAGCCUUGUAAACCCAAUAAAGACUCCAGAGUUUCCAAUUGCUUCAAGAGCUGAGGGUUUAAUAUCAGAAGCCCGACUCUGACUGACUCCAGCUGAUUUAGUGGGCUGAAGGAAACAAGGACAGGCAGAAGCCCUGGAGCAUGUGAUUGGAUUCCCAUCAGUGCCAGGGCAGAGAGGGCAGCUCUGGGGGCUCAGGGGGGCACAGACCCUGUCCCUGCAUGCUGGAUUGAGCUCUUUCCUCACUCAGAGAGGAAUUUUCAAAACUUUUAUUCUGUUUUUUUACUUUCAUUUGGAGGGUGAGAUAAUACAGGUGUUACAAUUCACGUUAUCACAAUCAGAAGCCAUUUCCUAAUUACAAUACACUAUCAGUUUUUGCUACACAUGCUGCAAAUGCCUUAAUAAUAAUAAUGUAAUAA